rnacentral:rRNA from 1 species
AACGAAUGCUGGCUGCGUGCUUAACACAUGCAAGUCGAACGGUGAAAGGGAGCUUGCUCCCUGGAUCAGUGGCGAACGGGUGAGUAACACGUGGGCAACCUGCCCCUCACUCUGGGAUAACUCCGGGAAACCGGGGCUAAUACCGGAUACGACCUGGUGCGACAUCGCACCGGGUGGAAAGAACUUCGGUGAGGGAUGGGCCCGGGGCCUAUCAGCUUGUUGGUGGGGUAACGGCCCACCAAGGCGACGACGGGUAGCCGGCCUGAGAGGGCGACCGGCCACACUGGGACUGAGACACGGCCCAGACUCCUACGGGAGGCAGCAGUGGGGAAUAUUGCGCAAUGGGCGAAAGCCUGUCGCAGCGACGCAGCGUGAGGGACGAAGGCCUUCGGGUUGUAAACCUCUUUCAGCGGGGACGAAGCGAAAGUGACGGUGCCCGCAGAAGAAGCACCGGCUAACUACGUGCCAGCAGCCGCGGUAACAC